GAUGAAGAACGCAGUGAAAUGCGAUAAGUAAUGUGAAUUGCAGAAUUCAGUGAAUCAUCGAAUCUUUGAACGCACAUUGCGCCCGCUGGUAUUCCGGCGGGCAUGCCUGUUCGAGCGUCAUUUCAACCCUCAAGCCCCCGGGUUUGGUGUUGGGGAUCGGCUCUGCCUUCUGGCGGUGCCGCCCCCGAAAUACAUUGGCGGUCUCGCUGCAGCCUCCAUUGCGUAGUAGCUAACACCUCGCAACUGGAACGCGGCGCGGCCAUGCCGUAAAACCCCAACUUCUGAAUGUUGACCUCGGAUCAGGUAGGAAUACCCGCUGAACUUAAGCAUAUCAAUAAGCGGAGGA
rnacentral:misc_RNA from 1 species